GAACGACUCUCGGCAACGGAUAUCUCGGCUCUCGCAUCGAUGAAGAACGUAGCGAAAUGCGAUACUUGGUGUGAAUUGCAGAAUCCCGUGAACCAUCGAGUUUUUGAACGCAAGUUGCGCCCUAAGCCAUCCGGCCGAGGGCACGCCUGCCUGGGCGUCAC
rnacentral:rRNA from 1 species